rnacentral:rRNA from 1 species
UACGUAGGGUGCAAGCGUUGUCCGGAAUUAUUGGGCGUAAAGAGCUUGUAGGCGGUUUGUCGCGUCUGCUGUGAAAUUUCGGGGCUCAACCCCGAACUUGCAGUGGGUACGGGCAGACUAGAGUGUGGUAGGGGAGACUGGAAUUCCUGGUGUAGCGGUGAAAUGCGUAGAUAUCUGGAGGAACACCGGUGGCGAAGGCGGCGUCCCUGGACCAACACUGACACUGAAAAGCGAAAGCCAGGGGAGCAAACGGG